GCCAACAUGAAGACAAGUGCAGUCUUGGUUCUGGUGGCCUUCAUCACCCUGGGGAUGGAGAUGGCCUGCGGACAAGAAAGACCUGGAGUCUGCCCAAAAAUACCUAAAGGAUCAGCCUCUGGGUUGUGUCUUCAACACUGCUUAUCAGAUGAAUCGUGUCCAGAGGGAAUGAAAUGCUGCCCCAAUAUGUGUGGUCAUGCCUGCAAAUAUCCUAUCCCUAAAGAGGGUGGCCCUGGUGGCCGUGUGAAAGAUGGACUGGAUGUUCUCUAAGCGUGCCUGGAGACGAACGCCAGAAGAUUUCUCAUGAAUCCAUGAAUCUGAUGCUUGGCAUAGCAAGACUCUUCCAUAAUCCAUUCCUGGCUACUCCUUAACCCUGGAAUUGCAGCCCUAGAAGACACAGAUCUACAAUGGUGAAGUGAUUGCUUUCUAAAGAGUUUCUGUCCAAAAUAAACUUUAGC